rnacentral:rRNA from 1 species
GUACACAAAAAUGCACAUGCUGUGAGCUCGAUGAGUAGGGCGGGACACGUGGUAUCCUGUCUGAAUAUGGGGGGACCAUCCUCCAAGGCUAAAUACUCCUGACUGACCGAUAGUGAACCAGUACCGUGAGGGAAAGGCGAAAAGAACCCCGGCGAGGGGAGUGAAAAAGAACCUGAAACCGUGUACGUACAAGCAGUGGGAGCACGCUUAGGCGUGUGACUGCGUACCUUUUGUAUAAUGGGUCAGCGACUUAUAUUCUGUAGCAAGGUUAACCGAAUAGGGGAGCCGAAGGGAAACCGAGUCUUAACUGGGCGUUAAGUUGCAGGGUAUAGACCCGAAACCCGGUGAUCUAGCCAUGGGCAGGUUGAAGGUUGGGUAACACUAACUGGAGGACCGAACCGACUAAUGUUGAAAAAUUAGCGGAUGACUUGUGGCUGGGGGUGAAAGGCCAAUCAAACCGGGAGAUAGCUGGUUCUCCCCGAAAGCUAUUUAGGUAGCGCCUCGUGAAUUCAUCUCCGGGGGUAGAGCACUGUUUCGGCAAGGGGGUCAUCCCGACUUACCAACCCGAUGCAAACUGCGAAUACCGGAGAAUGUUAUCACGGGAGACACACGGCGGGUGCUAACGUCCGUCGUGAAGAGGGAAACAACCCAGACCGCCAGCUAAGGUCCCAAAGUCAUGGUUAAGUGGGAAACGAUGUGGGAAGGCCCAGACAGCCAGGAUGUUGGCUUAGAAGCAGCCAUCAUUUAAAGAAAGCGUAAUAGCUCACUGGUCGAGUCGGCCUGCGCGGAAGAUGUAACGGGGCUAAACCAUGCACCGAAGCUGCGGCAGCGACACUGUGUGUUGUUGGGUAGGGGAGCGUUCUGUAAGCCUGCGAAGGUGUGCUGUGAGGCAUGCUGGAGGUAUCAGAAGUGCGAAUGCUGACAUAAGUAACGAUAAAGCGGGUGAAAAGCCCGCUCGCCGGAAGACCAAGGGUUCCUGUCCAACGUUAAUCGGGGCAGGGUGAGUCGACCCCUAAGGCGAGGCCGAAAGGCGUAGUCGAUGGGAAACAGGUUAAUAUUCCUGUACUUGGUGUUACUGCGAAGGGGGGACGGAGAAGGCUAUGUUGGCCGGGCGACGGUUGUCCCGGUUUAAGCGUGUAGGCUGGUUUUCCAGGCAAAUCCGGAAAAUCAAGGCUGAGGCGUGAUGACGAGGCACUACGGUGCUGAAGCAACAAAUGCCCUGCUUCCAGGAAAAGCCUCUAAGCAUCAGGUAACAUCAAAUCGUACCCCAAACCGACACAGGUGGUCAGGUAGAGAAUACCAAGGCGCUUGAGAGAACUCGGGUGAAGGAACUAGGCAAAAUGGUGCCGUAACUUCGGGAGAAGGCACGCUGAUAUGUAGGUGAAGUCCCUCGCGGAUGGAGCUGAAAUCAGUCGAAGAUACCAGCUGGCUGCAACUGUUUAUUAAAAACACAGCACUGUGCAAACACGAAAGUGGACGUAUACGGUGUGACGCCUGCCCGGUGCCGGAAGGUUAAUUGAUGGGGUCAGCGCAAGCGAAGCUCUUGAUCGAAGCCCCGGUAAACGGCGGCCGUAACUAUAACGGUCCUAAGGUAGCGAAAUUCCUUGUCGGGUAAGUUCCGACCUGCACGAAUGGCGUAAUGAUGGCCAGGCUGUCUCCACCCGAGACUCAGUGAAAUUGAACUCG